GACGAACGCUGGCGGCGUGCUUAACACAUGCAAGUCGAACGGAAAGGCCUCUUUCGGGGGGUACUCGAGUGGCGAACGGGUGAGUAACACGUGAGUAACCUGCCCUUGACUUUGGGAUAACUUCAGGAAACUGGGGCUAAUACCGGAUAGGAGCUCCUGCUGCAUGGUGGGGGUUGGAAAGUUUCGGCGGUUGGGGAUGGACUCGCGGCUUAUCAGCUUGUUGGUGGGGUAGUGGCUUACCAAGGCUUUGACGGGUAGCCGGCCUGAGAGGGUGACCGGGCACAUUGGGACUGAGAUACGGCCCAGACUCCUACGGGAGGCAGCAGUGGGGAAUAUUGCACAAUGGGUGGAAGCCUGAUGCAGCAACGCCGUGUGCGGGAUGACGGCCUUCGGGUUGUAAACCGCUUUCGCUCAUGACGAAGCUUUGUGUGACGGUAGUGGGUAAAGAAGCACCGGCUAACUACGUG
rnacentral:rRNA from 1 species